rnacentral:rRNA from 3 species
AAAUUGAAGAGUUUGAUCAUGGCUCAGAUUGAACGCUGGCGGCAGGCCUAACACAUGCAAGUCGAACGGUAACAGGAAGCAGCUUGCUGCUUUGCUGACGAGUGGCGGACGGGUGAGUAAUGUCUGGGAAACUGCCUGAUGGAGGGGGAUAACUACUGGAAACGGUGGCUAAUACCGCAUAACGUCGCAAGACCAAAGAGGGGGACCUUCGGGCCUCUUGCCAUCAGAUGUGCCCAGAUGGGAUUAGCUAGUUGGUGAGGUAACGGCUCACCAAGGCGACGAUCCCUAGCUGGUCUGAGAGGAUGACCAGCCACACUGGAACUGAGACACGGUCCAGACUCCUACGGGAGGCAGCAGUGGGGAAUAUUGCACAAUGGGCGCAAGCCUGAUGCAGCCAUGCCGCGUGUAUGAAGAAGGCCUUCGGGUUGUAAAGUACUUUCAGCGGGGAGGAAGGUGUUGUGGUUAAUAACCGCAGCAAUUGACGUUACCCGCAGAAGAAGCACCGGCUAACUCCGUGCCAGCAGCCGCGGUAAUACGGAGGGUGCAAGCGUUAAUCGGAAUUACUGGGCGUAAAGCGCACGCAGGCGGUCUGUCAAGUC